CUGCUUCAGCGGCAGAUAUACUAAAAUUGGAUCAAUACAGAGAAGAUUAGCAUGGUCCCUGCUCAAGGAUGACAUGCAAAUUCGUGAGGCAUUCAAUAUUUUU
rnacentral:snRNA from 1 species